AAGCAGAGGACAGUGGCGGACGGGUGAGUAACGCGUGGGUAACCUGCCUCAUACAGGGGGAUAACAGUUGGAAACGACUGCUAAUACCGCAUGAUACAUUUGGGUGGCAUCAUCUGAAUGUCAAAGAUUUAUCGCUGAAAAGAUGGCCUCGCGUCUGAUUAGCUGGUUGGUGAGGUAACAGCCCACCAAGGCGACGAUCAGUAGCCGGACUGAGAGGUUGACCGGCCACAUUGGGACUGAGAUACGGCCCAGACUCC
rnacentral:rRNA from 1 species